AGCAGUGUGGUGCAGUGGUUUGAGCGUUGGAUUACGACUCUGGAGACGAGGGCUCAAUUCCCAGCUUGGCUA